CCAAUAGCGUAUAUUAAAGUUGUUGCAGUUAAAAAGCUCGUAGUUGAACCUUAGGCCCGUGCGGGCGGUCCGUCCUCUGGGCGAGCACUGCUCCGUCGCGGGUCUCACCUUCUGGCGAGCGUGGAUGCCAUUUAUUUGGUGUCCGCGGGAACCAGGACCUUUACCUUGAAAAAAUUAGAGUGCUCAAAGCGGGCUCCGACGCUUGAAUACCUUAGCAUGGAAUAAUGAAAUAGGACGAUGGUUCUAUUUUGUUGGUUUCCGGGACCGUCGUAAUGAUUAAUAGGGAUAGUUGGGGGCAUUCGUAUUCAAUUGUCAGAGGUGAAAUUCUUGGAUUUAUUGAAGACGAACUACUGCGAAAGCAUUUGCCAAGGAUGUUUUCAUUAAUCAAGAACGAAAGUUGGGGGAUCGAAGACGAUCAGAUACCGUCGUAGUCUCAACCAUAAACUAUGCCGACUGGGAAUCGGGCGAUGUUACUUUUCUGACUCGCUCGGCGCCCCGAG
rnacentral:rRNA from 1 species